rnacentral:rRNA from 1 species
UACAGAGGUCCCGAGCGUUGUUCGGAUUCACUGGGCGUAAAGGGUGCGCAGGUGGCUUGGCAAGUUUGAUGUGAAAGCUCAGGGCUUAACCUGGGGGCUGCGCUUGAUACUGAUUGGCUUGAAUGCGGGAGAGGAUAGUGGAAUUCCCAGUGUAGAGGUGAAAUUCGUAGAUAUUGGGAAGAACACCGGUGGCGAAGGCGGCUAUCUGGCCCGUAAUUGACGCUGAGGCGCGAAAGCGUGGGGAGCAAACAGG